CCUGUAUAUUUGCAACCAGUCACUUGCUAGAUCCAAUCCAAGCAAUGCCAAGAAAAUAAAGCCUGGUCUGCAAGUAAGGUUCAACGAGAGUCUCACGUCAGAAAUGUGCCAAAGGAUAGACAGGAAAAUUGCAUAACAGCCAGUAAUGUUUGCCCUGAAGGAUGUCGAAAGCACCUGUCUGUUGCCGUAACAUCUCCAGAAGUUGACACUGGACUACAAAAUCUGAUGAAUAAAUCAAUUAUUACAGCUUACCAUUUCCCCCUUUUCUUGGCAUCUACCAGUCUAUCAAUUAUUACAGCUCCAGAGAGGAGCUAAAAAGUAUUAUAUUUAGACAUGAAAAAAAAACAUAUAUUUUCAAUGUAAAGGAACAAAGGAUCAACAUUUAGGCACAACUGAAUAUGAACCAGUAAUCCAAUGUUCAGUAUGAUUCAUAUAUAAGAGUGCUUAUGACUUGCUUCCUAGUGAAUUUCAUGCAUCAGUAAAUAUUUGAUGACUCAAAGACAAAUCUCCUCCUAUCCUUAUUAUUUGACUUCAUAAAAAUGUAUACAUACAUAUACAUAAAAAUGUAUCCUUAUUAUCACUCAAUUUAAAUUUUUAUGAAUAUGUAUAUAUCUUUGCAAAACUUGCACAUGUAAAUCACCACGUCACCUGAUCAUUAAAGUAAACAAUGUUUAGGUUCUGAUUGGCAUUAGCACCCCUUUAAAUAUGCCCUUUAAAGCAAAUAUGAUGGUAAAAGUAUCAAUGAAACUUUAUUAUUUUAAAUCUUAAUUUAAAAGAAAAAUGAAAUUAGCUGACAAUUGUUACCUUAGUUCUUGUAAUGAAUGUUAAUGGCAGGAGUUUUAUGGUGGAUCAUAGUUACCGGGGGGCAUAAAUGCUAUAGUCAAAUUUGUUGUGACAAAUGCACAUUUGCCAAACUUUUCAAUGAUUGGCAUGACAAAUCCCUUUUUUGUUUUAAUAAUUGUGGAUGAAAGCAAUGUGGUCACUUCAAAGUUAGGAGCCACUUAAAAGUGGCUCCAUAAGAGCAUUUGACAUCUUCCCACCAGAUCUUGAUGAGAUCUUUCACUAUUAAAUUAGAUAGUUGGAUAAUCAUAUUGAUAGAUGGCUAAGAUGUGAGAACUAGAGGGUCUUAACAUAUAGUAAUUAGUGCAGUGUUGCACAAGUGAUAGGUCUCAAGUUUGAGUCGACAUGUUAACAACAUUUGAUGUAAUGAAAAUUUCUUUUCAUUUUUCUUUUAAACAUAAAGCACAACUGAGAAGGAUGAUUGUCCCAAAACUCACAGGUUAACAAGGCGGCCAAGACUUAGAACUGACAGUCCUCCGAUCCUCCCAUCGUAGGGUGAGCUCGGAGCUGGAUGGAUACCUCCCUCCUCAAUAUCGGCCAAGAAAAAAGCCUAGAUCACACGAUAAAUUCGUGGUCCAUCUACCACCAUCAAAUACUAUGUUCAAGAUGAAUGUCUCACAGGCAUUUAAACGAACAUGACGCGUGCAAUCUAUACAGGGCAUAUUGAACUCCAAAAGCACAAAGUGCAAUCUAUACAGGGCAUAUUGAACUCCAAAAGCACAAAGUGCAAUCUAUACUGGGCAUAUUGAACUCCAAAGGCACAAAAGUCCUUGCGUAUCACAGGCUUUGGCCAAUUCGGCUAUAGGAAGUAACGUUAUAGGAUCAAGAAAAGCAUCAGUUUGGAGCAGGAACAUAUUCUCGAGUAGGUUAUUACCUUCCAACGAAUGCGGCGAGGAGGGGCGCGGCGCAGGUGCGGGUGCAACAUACCAUCGGCGACGAACGACAAAACCAAGACAAUCGCCCGUCCCCAUCCAUUGUCGCUGCUGGUGGUGGUGCUCGUUAAGAAGUGGGAACUGUGCGCGGCCGUCGGAAGGGACUCAUCCACCGUGUCGGCGCGUGGAGAGGGAAAGCCUGCAGGGAACAACAAUGCCUGUGUUGUGUUAAGCUCACGGGAGCUCCAAGGAAUUAGGUUGAAUAUAAUUGAAUCGGGUCAAAAUCUAAUUUACUCCGGUCCAAUUAAAAUCUAAUGUAGCUCAC
rnacentral:lncRNA from 1 species